CGCGUCUUAGCAUGCAAGUCGGGCGGCAAGGGGGAGCAAUCCCUCCUAGAGCGGCGGACUGGUGAGUAACGCGUGGGUGACCUACCUUGAGGACGGGGAUAGCCGUUAGAAAUAGCGGGUAAUACCGGAUACGGUUAUUCUGCUUUGGCGGGAUAAAGAAAGGAGCUAAGGCUCCGCCUUGAGAUGGGCCCGCGUCCCAUUAGGUAGUUGGUGGGGUAAAGGCCUACCAAGCCGGGGAUGGGUAGCCGGCCUGAGAGGGUGAACGGCCACACUGGGACUGAGAUACGGCCCAGACUCCUACGGGAGGCAGCAGCUAAGAAUAUUCCGCAAUGGGCGAAAGCCUGACGGAGCGACGCCGCGUGGACGAGGGAGGCCGAAAGGUUGUAAAGUCCUUUUGCGGAUGAAGAAUAAGGCGGGGAGGGAAUGCCCUGUUGAUGACGUUAGUCCGUGAAUAAGCCCCGGCUAAUUACGUGCCAGCAGCCGCGGUAACACGUAAGGGGCGAGCGUUGUUCGGAAUUAUUGGGCGUAAAGGGCGCGUAGGCGGUUAUGUAAGUCUGGCGUGAAAUGCCCGGGCUCAACCCGGGGACGGCGCUGGAAACUGGAUGACUAGAGUCAUGGAGGGGGAGUUGGAAUUCCGCGUGUAGGGGUGAAAUCUGUAGAUAUGCGGAAGAACACCGGUGGCGAAGGCGAACUUCUAGCCAAUGACAGACGCUGAGGCGCGAAAGUGCGGGGAGCAAACAGGAUUAGAUACCCUGGUAGUCCGCACUAUAAACGAUGUGCACUAUGUGUUGGGGCCGAGCGGUUCAGUGCCGAAGCGAACGUGAUAAGUGCACCGCCUGGGGAGUAUGCCCGCAAGGGUGAAACUCAAAGGAAUUGACGGGGCCCGCACAAGCGGUGGAGCAUGUGUUUAUCGAUGAUACGCGAGACUUACUGGUUUGACAUGGANGAUGA
rnacentral:rRNA from 1 species